UGAGUUUCAAUUUACUUCCGGGAUUAUUAUUUUCUAAAUCCCAAAUAGCUACACUUAGAUUACCGUGUCGUGCGUUUCUGUGAAACGGUGUUUGGUCCCCAGCGAACCUAGACUAGAUCUAGAUUGGAGAUCAAAACGAAAUUCCUUGCUUUGCUUGGACACUUAGAUCUAGAUUACUGAUUUAGUUUAGACUAGAUCUAGACAUUGACAUAUUGAUUUAAUUGAUGAUAUUCAAGUCAAUUAUUCACAUAGUCUAGAUCUUAAAAGUUAAAAAAUCUCUGUGCAUAAGAGUUCAAAAUGACGGAUAAUUUAGACAGCAUUGAUUUUUGGAAGAACAAAUGCAAAGAGUUGGAGAAGGUUAUCAAGACAUUAUCCAAUCAUUGUUUGAAAGUGGUAGAAAAGCAUGAGGAACUUUUAGUAAACUACAAGAAAAAUCAGGAUCAGUACAGUAUUUUGCUACAGAGAUUGAAGGAAAAGGGAGAUCAAAUUAA
rnacentral:sRNA from 13 species